GCAUAUCAAUAAGCGGAGGAAAAGAAACCAACAGGGAUUGCCUCAGUAACGGCGAGUGAAGCGGCAAUAGCUCAAAUUUGAAAUCUGGCUCUUUCAGAGUCCGAGUUGUAAUUUGUAGAGGAUGUUUCGGCUUACGCCCCGGUCUAAGUUCCUUGGAACAGGACGUCACAGAGGGUGAGAAUCCCGUAUGUGGCCGGCGGCUUCCGCCAUGUGAAACUCCUUCGACGAGUCGAGUUGUUUGGGAAUGCAGCUCUAAAUGGGAGGUAAAUUUCUUCUAAAGCUAAAUACUGGCCAGAGACCGAUAGCGCACAAGUAGAGUGAUCGAAAGAUGAAAAGCACUUUGGAAAGAGAGUUAAAAAGUACGUGAAAUUGUUGAAAGGGAAGCGCUUGCGACCAGACUUGCCCGCGGAUGCUCAACCGGUCCUUCGGCCGGUGCACUCUUCCGCGGUCAGGCCAGCAUCAGUUCGGGCGGUUGGAUAAAGGCUUUGGGAAUGUGGCUCUCUUCGGGGAGUGUUAUAGCCCAUUGUGCAAUACAACCUGCCUGGACUGAGGCCCGCGCUUCGGCUAGGAUGCUGGCGUAAUGGUCGUAAGCGGCCCGUCUUGAAACACGGACCAAGGAGUCUAACAUCUAUGCGAGUGUUUGGGUGUCAAACCCGUGCGCGUAAUGAAAGUGAACGGAGGUGGGAACCUUUUGGGGUGCACCAUCGACCGAUCCUGAUGUCUUCGGAUGGAUUUGAGUAAGAGCAUAGCUGUUGGGACCCGAAAGAUGGUGAACUAUGCCUGAAUAGGGUGAAGCCAGAGGAAACUCUGGUGGAGGCUCGCAGCGGUUCUGACGUGCAAAUCGAUCGUCAAAUUUGGGUAUAGGGGCGAAAGACUAAUCGAACCAUCUAGUAGCUGGUUUCCUGCCGAAG
rnacentral:rRNA from 1 species